UCUUCAUUCCGCAUCCUCUCUCACCGGUCAGAUUGACGAGAGAGUGUGUAAAAUGAAGAGA
rnacentral:pre_miRNA from 1 species